CCUACGGGAGGCAGCAGUAGGGAAUCUUCCACAAUGGGCGAAAGCCUGAUGGAGCAACGCCGCGUGGGUGAAGAAGGUCUUCGGAUCGUAAAACCCUGUUGUUAGAGAAGAAAGUGCGUGAGAGUAACUGUUCACGUUUCGACGGUAUCUAACCAGAAAGCCACGGCUAACUACGUGCCAGCAGCCGCGGUAAUACGUAGGUGGCAAGCGUGAUACGGAUUUAUGGGGCGUAAAGGGAACGCAGGCGGUCUUUUAAGUCUGAUGUGAAAGCCCUCGGCUUAACCGGAGUAGUGCAUUGGAAACUGGGAGACUUGAGUGCAGAAGAGGAGAGUGGAACUCCAGGUGUAGCGGUGAAAUGCGUAGAUAUAUGGAAGAACACCAGUGGCGAAAGCGGCUCUCUGGUCUGUAACUGACGCUGAGGUUCGAAAGCGUGGGUAGCAAACAGGAUUAGAUACCCGAGUAGUC
rnacentral:rRNA from 1 species